CCCGGGGUUUUUUGGGGCGUAAGCUUAGCGCAUGCGCCUUUCUUAAGUCUGAUGUGAUAGCCCCCGGCUCAACCGGGGUAGGGUCAUUGGAAACUGGCAGACUUGAGUGCAGAAGAGGAAAGUGGAAUUCCAUGUGUAGCGGUGAAAUGCGUAGAUAUAUGGAGGAACACCAGUGGCGAAGGCGGCUCUCUGGUCUGUAACUGACGCUGAGGCUCGAAAGCGUGGGGAGCGAACAGGAUUAGAUACCCUGGUAGUCCACGCCGUAAACGAUGAGUGCUAAGUGUUGGAGGGUUUCCGCCCUUCAGUGCUGCAGCAAACGCAUUAAGCACUCCGCCUGGGGAGUACGACCGCAAGGUUGAAACUCAAAGGAAUUGACGGGGGCCCGCACAAGCGGUGGAGCAUGUGGUUUAAUUCGAAGCAACGCGAAGAACCUUACCAGGUCUUGACAUCCUUUGACCACUCUAGAGAUAGAGCUUCCCCUUCGGGGGCAAAGUGACAGGUGGUGCAUGGUUGUCGUCAGCUCGUGUCGUGAGAUGUUGGGUUAAGUCCCGCAACGAGCGCAACCCUUAUUGUUAGUUGCCAUCAUUUAGUUGGGCACUCUAGCGAGACUGCCGGUGACAAACCGGAGGAAGGUGGGGAUGACGUCAAAUCAUCAUGCCCCUUAUGACCUGGGCUACACACGUGCUACAAUGGGAAGUACAACGAGUUGCGAAGUCGCGAGGCUAAGCUAAUCUCUUAAAGCUUCUCUCAGUUCGGAUUGUAGGCUGCAACUCGCCUACAUGAAGCCGGAAUCGCUAGUAAUCCGCGGAUCAGCACGCCGCGGUG
rnacentral:rRNA from 1 species